rnacentral:rRNA from 1 species
AUACGUAGGUGACAAGCGUUAUCCGGAUUUACUGGGUGUAAAGGGCGUGUAGGCGGAGAUGCAAGUCAGGAGUGAAACCUAGGGGCUCAACCCCUAAACUGCUUUUGAAACUGUAUCCCUUGAGUAUCGGAGAGGCAGGCGGAAAUUCUCGUGGAGCGGUUAAAUGCGUAGAUAUUAGGAGGAACACCAGUGGCGAAGGCGGCCUGCUGGACGACAACUGACGCUGAGGCGCGAAAGCGUGGGGAGCAAACAGGAUUAGAUACCCUGGUAGUCCACGCUGUAAACGAUGAAUACUAGGUGUGGGGGGACUGACCCCCUCCGUGCCGCAGUUAACACAAUAAGUAUUCCACCUGGGGAGUACGAUCGCAAGAUUGAAACUCAAAUGAAUUGACGGGG